UUGGAUGAGGAAAUAAGCUUAGUGAGUGA
rnacentral:piRNA from 1 species